AAGUGAGUUCAUCCUGGUUUGAUUGGAACGACGAAGAAGCUUCUAUUCCAAACUGGGAAACUGGAAUCACCUGAUUAGAAAAUGGGAUAACUUCUUCAUCCCAACUCCUAUGAGAUUUAUUCAACUUCCUGGUGAUUCUCCAACAAUUUAUGUAUCCAAAUCAAGCUUCUUACAAAGUGAUUCAUCCUGGUUUGAUUGGAACGACGAAGAAGCUGUCCUAUUCCCAAACUGGGAAACUGGAAUCACCUGAUUAGAAAGUGGGAUAACUUCUUCAUCCCAACUCCUAUGAAGAUUAAUUAA